AGUCUCUAAAGCUAGCUCAGAAAAAUACUGGACAUUCUGGAACCGGAUUCUUGACUAAAGUCCUUAACCAGAGGCUUCUCCUAUAGUAGGUACCCUCUAUCCUGGAGGGAAGCUGAAGCCAAGAAGAAAUCUAAAGUGGUACUCCACCCUCGAUCUUCCUAAGGGCCAAGGCUGGUCAAACUAACCACAUUCUUCAGCAGAAAAAAUGGAAGUCUGAAACAGCUUUACCUUAAGCACUUGAUCAACUACAUGAAAGUAUAGAUUGAUUCUUCUGGAUUUAAGACCUCACUUUUUGACCAAUAGCUGAGCUUGCUGCCAUGGGCUGCCUGAACAAGUACCAAGAGGCCAGAGAAGAAUUGGAUGUUCUCCAGUCCUGGAACUGGAGUCAUGGAUAUCUGUGAGCGACCACAUUGGUCCUGGGAGACCAACCAACCAACCAACCAACCAACCAACCAACCAACCAACCAACAGCAAAAUCAACAGCAAAAGCAUCUAGUUUUCGGCAAGAGCAUAAAAUGCUCUUAACCACUGAGCCAUAUCUCCUGCCUCAAUUUCAUCUGAUUUUUUUUUCCUAUGAUUUCACUUUCCAUCAUACUGUGUGGAAAACACUUUCUACUUUUAAUUUCUGUCUGUUGCAUAUGUGUGUGGGUGUCUGCAGGCCAGAAGAGGGCAUAGUUAUCUCAUGUAGCUACCACUGCAAGCAAUCUUGAGCAUCUCAGCAUGGGUGCUGGGACCCACACCUCCUCAGGAUCAGCAAGAGCUCUUAGCUGAUUAGCCAAACCCCAAUAUCUUUUCUGUAUAUAUUUAAUUCUAAUUUGUAAUCUACCAAGCUACCAUUAAUUUCUGCUUCCUUUUUUUCCUAUAUGUGAGCAUAUAUGUGUAUAUGCUAAGUAUAUAUCUAGGUAAGGCCUAGAAGUAGUUGUCAGCUCUGGAACAAGAUUUACAAGUGACUGGUAAGGUACCGAAUUUGACUGCUAGAAUCUGAACUCAGGUCUUCAAGAGCAGCAAGUCGUAUUAGCUGCUGAUGCAUCUCUCCCCCGCUUAGUAGCAUUUCUUAAGCUAAAACAAUCUAAAUAUCAUUCCUUUCUUCAUACAUAUAUCCAGCCACAUGUUUUGGAUUUUUUUUCUGACAUAGUAUCUCAAGAAUCCAUUUUUCCAAAAAUAAGAUUGACCUUCUUGCCGGGUGGUGGUGGCACACGCAUUUACCUUUAAUCCCACACUUGGAAGGCAGAGGCAGGUGGAUUUCUGAGUUGGAGGCCAGCCUGGUCUACAAAGUGAGUUCCAGGACAGCCAGGGCUAUACAGAGAAACCUUGUCUCGAAAAACCAUAAAAGAAAAAAAAAAAUGACAGUCUUAUCCUUUUACCUCCUAAGCAUGGGGAACAAACAUGGACUCAUCACGGUUAUAUACAGUGCUGGGGAUUGACCUUCAUACUUCUCCUAUGCUCACAACCAUCUGCAACUUUACUUCAAGGAUUAUGUUUAUCUUUUCUGAACUUUCUUAGAACCAGGCACAUGAUGCACAUACACAUGCACAGGCAGAAUUCUCAUAUGCAUAAAUUGAAAAUAAAUAAAAAUUCACCUAGUGAAUUCUAUCUUCAGAUAGAAUAGAAUGGAGACAGAAUUAAAAUGGACAUUCACACUUACUUUACAUUAUUAAAUAUGGUCACUUUUCCCUGGAGAAAAAGACACUAUUACAUUUUGUGUUGUAUUUUUCUGAGAUUCAUUUUUUGGUAGAUAUAUUUAUGUCAUUUAACUAUCAUCUAUUCCUCAUAUUUCUUUUUUCUUAUUGUUAAAAUAUCUGGUAUUGCACAGAAAUACAUAGUAAAAGCCUCUGCAGGCCAGGUCAAAAGUCACUUCCCUUGAUCGUCUUAUCUUCCUUUAUAAAGGUCUAUUUUGCUUUAGGAACUCAAGUAAGUGGUACACAAGACAAGUUUUAGAAGAUUAUUAUUAUUAUUAUUAUUAUUAUUAUUAUUAUUAUUAUUAUUAUUUUGGUUUUUCGAGACAGGAUUUCUCUGUAUAGCCCUAGAUGUCCUGGAACUCACUCUGUGGAUCAGGCUGGCCUUGAACUCAGAAAUCCACCUGUCUCUGCCUUCCAAGUGCUGGGAUUAAAGGCAUGUGCCACUACUGCCCGGCUAGUAGAAUUUCUUGGGGGUUGCGGUUUGAUGUGUUUGUAGAUAUGCCACCCAGGAUCACAGUAGCCUCUUUCCUAGCUGCCUGCAGAUAUAGAGUGAAAGAAACCCAGUGUUCCUUAUUUUUCUGUGUCAUUACAUAAACUAUAAACCUCAUUGUUUAGAUGUAUUUAUUUGAGAUUUCUCCUACUUGUAAGCAAAUAUAUGAUAUAACUAAAUGUAUGUCAUUAUUAAGGCUAAGGAGGUGGCUCAGUGCUCAAGUGCAUAUACUGCUCCUGGAGAGGACCCAAGUUCAGUUUGCAGCACUCUCUUCCAGUGUCUCAUAACCAACUGUCACUUCCCAUUAUGGACUCUGGAAACCGGUACUCACUCUGGUUUAUACCUAAAUAUAGCUGUAUACAUAUAUACACAUAAUUGAAGCUAAUGAAAAAAUAAUUCAAAAAGACUUGCUGUGAGGACUGAAGGAAUGGUUCAGCAGCUAAAAACACUUCCUACUCUCUGAGGGGAUUUGUGUUAGGUUUCCAGCACCCAUCUGGUUACUCACAGCCAUCUGCGACUUUAGUUCCCUGGAUUCUGAUGGCCUUUACUGAACUUUCUUAGAACCAGACACAUGAUGCACACACACACACACACACACACACACACACACACACACACACACACACACACACACAGGCAAAAUUCUCAUAUACAGAAAGUGAAAGUAAAUAAAACUAUAUUUUAAAAAUUAUAUCAGCAUUAACAAAUACUAUAUUAGUAUAUUUGUGUUAAGGUUGACUGUUGUCCAUGGUGCUUUGUUCAUCCUGAUCUCAGUGAUCCAACCCAUUUCUCCCUUUACUAGAGAGAGAGAACAUUACUCACUGGCCCUUUGGGUAAGAGCAUGAGGCUAAUUUAGAGAAAAUCAUAGUAAUGAAGAGGAUUCAUUGCAUAAUGCUAGACCUCUCUUCCAUACCAUAUUUUAUUGACCUUAAACAUGUAUCCCUUCCAUAGAUGUGAGUAAGUAUAGAGAUGUUGGCUGGAGUCUGCAUGGGGGCACUUUGACUGAGCUUACCCUACACUACCUGAGUGGGUUCUGAGUUGUAGGGAAGAGUUGAGGCACCACUCUGAGGAUGGAAAAGCACAGCCUGAGACAUGAGAAAGCUUGAGCUGGUCGGAGAGGCCUUUGGCAGGAGAGUAGGUUAAACCUCUGUAGGUGAAGGCGUUCUCCAUGGUGCCCCACAGUGGCUCUUGGUGAAAAGAGAUAGUCCAUGGUUUUAAACAGGUUAUUGUUGUGUCCGAAAAUGGAUGCAUAAAACCAUACCCCACUUCUCAGGGUGGGUCUGAGAUUAAAUACUUUUUGUGGGAAGAAAUGUUUGAGAAGGGAAGCUUAUUGGCUAAGCCCUCCUGGCCUCUAGGUACCUCAUGGAGCCUGUUCUGGGCCAAUGUAACCUAGGACACAUUUUUUUUUUUUUUUUUUUUUGAUGUGAGAAGCAUGGCAAGUGUUCCAAGUCAGGAGUUUUGCAGGAAGCUGGAAGAUGGUUAAGCCUCAGGUGUGUGCCCACUGAGUCUCCUGGUCUUGACCUGCUCUAUGUUACCAAACUUCCUGGAAUGGUUUUAUGUCCUACAAAUAAGAGAGCAGCAUGAUGGACUUUUUACUUGUCAAGCAAAAGAUUUUCUCUUCCUUUCCAGUCAAGCCAUCCUGGAAGCACUCAUAUUCUACCCUAUUUCCCAAAUCUCUUCAAUGACUUCUUAAAUUGGCCGUGGAUGGGAAUUCAAUGUCCAGAAGCUUCCAUUUUUACAAUAUGAACAGAAAUGUCAGAGAAUUAAAUGAAGCCACAGAAGGAAGCAGGUUCAGAUGUAAAACAAAGACGAGAGGCCCAACAUGGUCCCUUGAGAAUGAGUUCAGUCACACUUCAAGCUCCAUUCACCACUGCAUAUUCCAUCUUCCUGUGCACUAACUUCUUUCAUUUUCUUGGGUUGUUUCUUUUGUUUGUUUGUUUGUUUGUUUGUUUGUUUUAUCUGAUGUCGGUUUUCAUGUAUCUCAGACUGGCUUUGAAUUUGCUGUGGUAGGGAUGAAAACCUUGAGUUCCUGAUCCUCCUGUGUCUACUUUCUUUUUUUUUUUUCCUUUUUUUUAUUAGGUAUUUUCCUCAUUUACAUUUUCAAUGCUAUCCCAAAGGUCCCCCAUACCCACCCCCCCAAUCCCCUACCCACCCACUCCCCCUUUUUGGCCCUGGCAUUCCCCUGUACUGGGGCAUAUAAAGUUUGCAAGUCCAAUGGGCCUCUCUUUGCAGUGAUGGCUGUGUCUACUUUCUAACGGAUGAAGUUAUACACAUACUCUACCACAUUUGGCUGUUUCAUCAUUUGGAAAAGCUAUUUUGAGUUGGUUCUUGCAUAAUCAACAGUGUUAAUUAGACAGUUACAGCUUAAAGAUAAGCAGAUAACUAAAUGUAUAAGCUACUGAUUAUUAGACUUCCCUGAGAAGGAAUUGUUGAAAGUCUAUAACUUGGUCAUAAUAGAAUAAAAUGGCCUUCAAGUCAGCUCCCCAGGUGACUACAGACCUUGAGGAGAUAAGAGCAAACAUGAAAUGAUCAUUUUAUAGGAAAAUAAAAUGAAAACAUAGUAAGGGAAAAAUAUAGGUAAUUAGUCUUUAGUCUUUUUUUUUAUUACGUAUUUUCCUCAUUUACAUUUCCAAUGCUAUCCCCAAAAUCCCCCAUAUCCUCCCCCCCCACUCCCCUACUCACCCACUCCCACUUUUUGGCCCUGGCGUUCCCCUGUACUGGGGCAUAUAAGAAUGUAAUUUCUUAUGUUCAUCCUUAACAAGUCAUAUGGCAAUGGAACUGGG
rnacentral:lncRNA from 1 species